AGGGCUAAACAGGGUACGGAGUAAUGGUGGCUCCUACAAUAUGUCCUAUAUUAUCUAUAAUUUAGAGAGAUAGAUAAACAUAAUAUGUGACUCCUACAAUAUUGAAUGUUGCCUAUAAGCAGUGUGGACCCAGGUUUAAACUGGGGAGUACUUUGUUAUCCUUAUCUUCUCUCCGAGUUAAGAAUUAUUCGGACAGAAAUUUGUAGAUGACUUUGAUCCUUAAUUAAUCACUCACAGUAGCACAUGAAAAAAUUUACAGACUCAAGUAGCAAAUAAUUCUCUAACAAUGAGCCUUACUUUUUUUUUUUUUUUUUU